UACGGGGGGAGCAAGCGUUGUUCGGAUUUACUGGGCGUAAAGGGCGCGUAGGCGGCCAGCACAAGUCAGUUGUGAAAUCUCCGGGCUUAACUCGGAAAGGUCAACUGAUACUGUGCGGCUAGAGUGCAGAAGGGGCAACUGGAAUUCUCGGUGUAGCGGUGAAAUGCGUAGAUAUCGGGAGGAACACCUGUGGCGAAAGCGGCUCUCUGGACCACAACUGACGCUGAGGCGCGAAAGCUAGGGGAGCAAACAGG
rnacentral:rRNA from 1 species